rnacentral:snoRNA from 1 species
UGCUAUGAUGAAAAACGUUUCCUUAACGACGAGCGGACCGACACGCACACAUGCGGACAGUUCGAAUGUGUACAAAUGUUGAGCC